CCGCGUUAUGUCCUCGCAGAUGGCCGACAGUCCGUUGUUGCUGAUGUCCAGAAACUCGAGGUUGCAGAAAACGCUGACGGACGACGGGAGAGAGGCUAACCGGUUGUAGUUCAGCCCGUUAGAGAAAAGGAGCCCACCUUGAAGUAUUUGAGCAGGAUGUCAGAGAAGUUGGAUCCCUUGACAAACCAGCCGUCUGGGACGACCUCAGUCUGCAGCCACUGGAUCACGCGACCCCUCAGUUCAUUGCGGUCAGCAGCGUAGCAUACCACUACAGGGAUGGGAACAUUUCCAUAGAUUGCCAGUGGGCUUUGCCAAAAGAAAAAAGAAAA